rnacentral:lncRNA from 1 species
UUCUGGGCACAUCUUCUCUGUACAGUUAACAGUCAAAUUAGUAGGUAACAAACUAAAUUUAAAAAUAAAUGAUUCAAUCAUUAAACUCUAAAAAAAAUAAAAUUUGGAUGUGUAAUACGAUAUGUCGGAUCCUCAUAAUGCUGGCAUAUGAGAGCUUAAUCAUCCAUAAUGAUGAUGUCAUAGGGCCGCUGCCGUGCUGCCUCCACCCC